rnacentral:misc_RNA from 1 species
AAAGUUUGUCACACUAGUGACCUACUCUUGUGCAUUGUUUAACCGCUUUGGCAGUUUAGUUUCUAGUCUUCUGGAAACGUCCGAUCUUUACGGAUCGGGGGCUGCCAAUAGAUGUGCAAAAUCUCUUGCGCAUUCUUAAACAAAAACACUAUAUUUCUUUUUUACUAAAGUCUGAUACAAUAAAUGUGAUUUUAAUCAUAAAUUUAUUAA